rnacentral:rRNA from 1 species
CUCGUAGGUGGUUUGUCGCGUUGUUCGUGAGAACUCACAGCUUAACUGUGGGCGUGCGGGCGAUACGGGCAGACUGGAGUACUGCAGGGGAGAUUGGAAUUCCUGGUGUAGCGGUGGAAUGCGCAGAUAUCAGGAGGAACACCGGUGGCGAAGGCGGGUCUCUGGGCAGUAACUGACGCUGAGGAGCGAAAGCGUGGGGAGCGAACA